AAUAGAUGAAAAUGGCUGUCAAUUAGUUCAAGGAUUCGUAUCAUAAUGGAUUUGGGUGUUUGUUAUGUUUACAUCUGCUGUUUUAGCUUCUUGUUUUUGCCUUCUAUCAUAUUGGAGACGUGUGGCCUUGUGUCACCGUACUGGGUAAAAUUUAAUGCUUCUUCAGACUGUUUUGUUGGAAUCAUAAACAAUGUUGACUGUCCUGAAAAUACAAAAGAAUUAGAUGCAGCAACUAUAAAUCUUCAAAUCACAGCGUUUGCUUUCAUGAUCGUGCAAAUCCCAUUCUCAGUUGUAUUUGGACUUGCUCUUCAAGACCCAGACAACACUUUCCUAUUAGUUUGUGGUGCUGUUCCCUCGUUGUUUUUUUACUUUAUCCAAUAUCAGGUAUUCUAGCCUUUGCUGGAUGUAUGCUAAUUCUUCGAGAUUAUCCUGACCUAGAAAGGGGAUGGUCUUUUGACCUCUGUUUGGCCUCAUCUGUUAUAAUUCUAAUCGAGAUUAUAGCUCCUCUGAUUGUAUUAAUCGUGAUGAAGAUAAGAUCCGCAGAACAUAAAUCUGACGAAAAACCUGAAGAGUCUGUCGAGGCAAAGAACAGUAAUGAAGAUAAUAAAGAUGCCGAGACACAAACACAAUCCAACAUAUACGGCAACAGCAUUAUGGCUCAAGUGGCAAUCAUAGCUAAAGUCGAGCAUGCUAACAAUGCCAUAGAAAUGAAAU